rnacentral:ncRNA from 21 species
AGUCCUCUCCCUCGCGAUUUGUCCGGCCAGCUUGCGGCGAGGUUAAAUAAUCGCGCUAAAGAGGCCUGGGGAGCGUUGUU